rnacentral:snRNA from 1 species
UGAUUUACCUAGACGUGAUCAAAGGGCGACGAAGAAGGCUCAUGGCCUAGGCUAAUGACCUCUAUUGCAUUUUCAAGGGAUGUCCUAAGUGGUCGAGUAUACGUUAUAAUUUAUGACAAUAAUAGCUUGUAUUAGUCCCUUUCUUAA